GACGUCACCGGACGCGCCCGCUUCUCGCUGGAGUGCGCACCGAGCGGCAGUGACUUCGCCGCUGCUGUAGUUCCCCGGCUGGAUGCGGUGACUGGUGCCAGUGCUCAGGCGCCCGCUGCCCUUGACCUCCCGCCCCGCGAGCCCUAACUCAGCGCAGGAGGACCGGCUGCCGCCGCCGCCGCCGCCAGGAGGUAGAUUGGGAAGUGGAGCUGGCCGUGGUCAUUGGAAAGAAAGGCAAGCACAUCAAGGUGAAGUGGAAAAGAUCCACACAACUUAAAGAUCUGCUGUCGAGUGAAUGGGGAAGUGGUCCAGAGCAGCAACACCAACCAGAUGGUAUUCAAGACAGAGGACCUGAUAGCCUGGGUGUCCCAGUUUGUUACCUUUUACCCAGGGGAUGUCAUCCUGACUGGGACCCCCCCACCUCCACCCAGGUGUCGGUGUAUUCAGGAAACCUCCUGUCUUUCUCAAGGUCUCUGAAGGUCCAGACAGCACUGAUGGCGAGCUUUGGGUCCGCACACUCUGGAAAGAAGAGAGAAGUGAAGGCUCUAGGGGGCAGCAGCCACCAGCAAACACCACUGCCUGCAGGAGCCUGGGCUGACUGGUUGGGACUCACCGAAGAUCCCUUCUUCCUGGGCGGUGGCCUGCAGGAACUGGAACAGCUGCUCUGUGUAGCCCAACUCUGCAGAAGAGAGAAGACCUAGACCUGGCACCCAGCACAGACACAGCCUGCCUCGAGGACUGCAAGGGAACAAGGGCCUCACCAGUAUCGGGCAGCUGGCCCUGGCGGAGGAAGGCGGCAGCCUGUGCAAAGGCCUUGAGCAGCGGGCUGAGCAGGCGGCAGAGGAAAAGAAAGAAAUCUGGGCAGUGUGACUGCUGGCUGAGCUGGAGGGGACAGGCCGGGGUGAGUGCAGCUCCCCACCGCCUCCCUACCACCUCCCUCCAGGGGCAGCUUUUUGAAACACACCCUGAAGUACCGGCCGUCAGCCUCUCCGAAGUCAUCACUGUCACUAUCAGUAAAGUCCCCACUCGGUUUCCACAGCA
rnacentral:lncRNA from 1 species